UCUCUUCAUGUGUUUUGGCCGUGUUUUUUACAAGAUUUUGGUGGAUUUUUUAGUGGGUUUGUUUUGUUUUCCUUAUAGCUUUUGUGGGUUUUGUUUUUUAGUCGGUGUUCUGUCCAAGCUUUGACUUUUUGUUGUUUUCUUGGUGAGAAAACAAUCCAGGAAACAUAAUGUGUUGCUUUUUUUUUUUAAUUAAGCUGUGCAUUUAAUUCCUAUCAUGGGUGUUUUGCGUUGGAUUUUUGUGUAAAUCCUGGUCCAUUGAAGGAAAGAAUUAAAGUGCAGUUAUUAGUGGCAUAUUAAUCAGGGAUUUUAGGGCAGACUCAUUAAAAGUGGGUUGUUUCUAGUUGUGAAGGGGUUCCAGAGGCCGGAAGUUAUACCAAAAAACGGAUAUUAGGAUUUGUGUUGCUGGGGUUUCGGUUUGAGGUAGGUGUCAAUGUGUUUUAUGUUGUUGGUUUUACUGGUUUGAGUUCGUAGAGCUGAUCAUGAAUUUUAUAGUCAGGACACCCUCAUCAUUUGCGACUGCCUGUUUAUUGUCUGACUGUACUGACUUGGUCUGAUAAAUUCUCACAUUAUUGUCUCAAAUUGAUGCCAAAGUAUUUUAGGAAAACGUUAAUGGUAUCGAUGCAUUAGCGGUUCAAAUUGAGAAAAUAAUACAUCUUCGUUUCUACAUGGUUUAUACAUGUAGGGCUAAUCAAUGUCUAAGCAAUUUUACUACACGCUCUUGAGGUUGUUUCACUCUUUGAUGCAAAAUGCUGGUAUGAUACAUUAGGCUGUUGAGAUAUUGCCAAAUGGUCGAAUCAUGUAAAGAUGCGCACAAAAAAGCUAUCAGCCUUUUUUUAUUUUUAAACAUCAUCCUUGUUUUCUAUCUUUUUGUGGUUCUCUACCUUAGGUUCUCCAGACACCUGAUUUUCGGGAUUGCAAAGCAGCUCAUGAACUUCGAUCACAUGACCACAGCGGCGGGGCUUGGGAAGAAUGUGGGAGGGAGACAAUUACCAGAUAGACACCGGGAUGGGGGAAUACAACAGCCCUCGCAUAUAUCUGCAGAAACAAUCACCUCGCAGAUGAAGUUAGAUGAUGGCCUGAAGAUCCGAGGAAGCUAUGUUGUCGGUGGGUCAGUUUAUGGUUGGAAAUUCAUUACAUGGGCAGGUAGUAGACCAAAUUAUUACGGGGUGACAAAGGAAUCGCACAGAAAUACCCUCAAGAAGCCAGCAGCUGGUGGUUCCCAUUGCAACUAGGGCACAUAAGUAACAUAGCGAAGCCAUUUAUCUUAAGAGAUGAUUGUAGCCAUUUUGCACAGUAGAAUAGAAAAUUUUGAUGAGAGAAGCCACCAUUAAUGAUGCAAGUACAACAUAUACACAGAGCAGACCAGUUUAUUUUGCUAAUUGAGAUGGGUAGAAACCGGUCUUUACCGUGAGUAUUUUCAUCACAUUGCUACUGAGACUUGCUGAGUUUCAUGCUCUUGCAGAAAUAGGGGAGCGAUAGAUCCUUUAACAAUUUUAUAUUUAGGCUUCUUUUGCGAAUCACUGUAAAGCCUGGCUUUGUUUUAAUGCCAAGAGAUGCACCUCAGUUUUCCAUUA